GACGAACGCUGGCGGCGUGCUUAACACAUGCAAGUCGAACGCUGAAGCUUGGUGCUUGCACUGGGUGGAUGAGUGGCGAACGGGUGAGUAAUACGUGAGUAACCUGCCCUUGACUCUGGGAUAAGCCUGGGAAACUGGGUCUAAUACUGGAUACGACAUGUCACCGCAUGGUGGUGUGUGGAAAGGGUUUUACUGGUUUUGGAUGGGCUCACGGCCUAUCAGCUUGUUGGCGGGGUAAUGGCUCACCAAGGCGACGACGGGUAGCCGGCCUGAGAGGGUGACCGGCCACACUGGGACUGAGACGCGGCCCAGACUCCUACGCGACGCAGCAGUGGGGAAUAUUGCACAAUGGGCGGAAGCCUGAUGCAGCGACGCCGCGUGAGGGAUGACGGCCUUCGGGUUGUAAACCUCUUUCAGCACGGAAGAAGCGAAAGUGACGGUACGUGCAGAAGAAGCGCCGGCUAACUACGUG
rnacentral:rRNA from 1 species